UUUAAAAGUGUUUCUUUAUGGUUUUCGAGGCAUUAAGGGCAAAAUAAGAUAAUAAUAAUAAAAUAUAAAAUAUUCUGAUAUUUCAGUAACAUUUAUUUAUUUUUAUUCUUAAACACAUUUAUUUAUUUAUCUGGAAGCUUUUUAUCACCCUUAGCUUGCUUGAUCAUGGAGUGAGCGUUGGCGACUAUAUUGAGGUUGGCGACACCGAGGCUGGUGGUGGUGGGGAUGAAGUUGGUGGUGGUGGGGAUGGAGGUGGUGGGGAUGGAGAUGGGGGUGGUGGGGAUGGUGGUGGUUUAUUUGGUGGUGGGAAGCAACUGUUACAAGGAGGGGCCAUAAUCAUUAUGGACAAAGUAAUGACAUACACCAUGGCUAAUGAAACCUUUGAACACCUUGACAUCUUCCACUUUUUGCAAACUUAUUUCAAAAAAUACAUUACAGUGUUUAUUGAUUUAUAGUUGAUUUUUCU
rnacentral:lncRNA from 1 species